rnacentral:lncRNA from 1 species
AGAAUUGUUCCCACCAAACUCCUGCAUAUCAUGAGACGGUAGAUUUGGACCCUGGUUUGGGUCAUCAGGGGAACUGCGGGAAUUAUUCAAUGAAGCACCUUUGACCAUGUUAUUGUAUCCAUAUAACUGUUGUCGACUCCCAGAAGUUGCUAACUGAGGGUUAACCAAACCAUCAGAAGCCUUCAAUCUCUUCAAACUCCGAUCAUUUGGGUCUAUCUCUGGAUUCUUCAUAUCCUCAACUUGAUGCAGCAAUGAGUAGUUUUGAUUCAAAGAUGCACUAGGUCUUAAAGAGCGCCCAAAAGCUGCAAUAUUCAUUUGAGUGCUACUCGCUCGAUUUAUAAUCAAGUCAUUUCCUUGCAAGGGACUAAUAACCUUCUGGGAGAAGUCAUUUACAGGGUUAAUUAGCUGGCUCUGAUCUUUUUGCAGCUGUCCUUUCCCAGUCAAUUCAAUUUUGACAGAAGUGGCACCAGUUGCAGAAGGAUCACUUCCACUUGCUUGUGGAUAUUGGUAUACUGAUUUUUGUGGCCAAGAAGUGAUUUUGGAAAUGCUGUUUGAUUGAAUAUCGGACUCAGGCACAUUAGACGAGGCUCUGAAAGGUGUACCAAAUGGAGGGAGUU